GAUGAAGUAGCUGAGUGGUUAAGGUGAUGGACUGUUAGUCUAUUAUGCUCUGCAGGCAUGGGUUCAAAUCCCAUUCUCAUUG
rnacentral:tRNA from 1 species